rnacentral:rRNA from 1 species
AGAAGUUUUGAUCCAUGGGCUCCAGGACGAACGCUGGCGGGCGUGGCCUAAUACAUGCAAGUCGAGCGCGGGAAGCGAGUGGAUCCCUUCGGGGUGAAGCUCGUGGAACGAGCGGCGGACGGGUGAGUAACACGUGGGCAACCUGCCUGUAAGAUCGGAAUAACCCCGGGAAACCGGGGCUAAUGCCGGGUAAUACUUUCUUUCGCAUGAAGGAAAGUUGAAAGAUGGCUUCUUGCUAUCACUUACAGAUGGGCCCGCGGCGCAUUAGCUAGUUGGUGAGGUAACGGCUCACCAAGGCGACGAUGCGUAGCCGACCUGAGAGGGUGAUCGGCCACACUGGGACUGAAACACGGCCCAAACUCCUACGGGAGGCAGCAGUAGGGAAUCUUCCGCAAUGGACGAAAGUCUGACGGAGCAACGCCGCGUGAACGAUGAAGGUCUUCGGAUCGUAAAGUUCUGUUGUUAGGGAAAAACAAGUACCGUGCGAAUAGAGCGGUACCUUGACGGUACCUAACGAGGAAGCCCCGGCAAACUACGUGCCAGCAGCCGCGGUAAUACGUAGGGGGCAAGCGUUGUCCGGAAUUAUUGGGCGUAAA